UACGUAGGCAGCGAGCGUUGUUCGGAAUUACUGGGCGUAAAGAGUGUGUAGGCGGUGCUCUAAGUUCGGUGUGAAAUCUCCCGGCUUAACUGGGAGGGUGCGCCGGAAACUGGAGUGCUCGAACGUGGGAGAGGAAGCGGAAUUCCUGGUGUAGCGGUGAAAUGCGUAGAUAUCAGGAGGAACACCUGCGGUGUAGACGGCUUCUGGACCAUUGUUGACGCUGAGACACGAAAGCGUGGGUAGCAAACAGG
rnacentral:rRNA from 1 species